AACUUUCAGCAAUGGAUCACUUGGCUCUCGCAUCGAUGAAGAACGCAGCGAAAUGCGAUAAGUAAUGUGAAUUGCAGAAUUCAGGGAAUCAUCGAAUCUUUGAACGCACCUUGCGCUCCUUGGUAUUCCGAGGAGCAUGCCUGUUUGAGUGUCAUUAAAUUCUCAACCGUUAUUAAUUUAGCGGCUUGGAUGUGUGGCUUGCCGGCUUACGUCACCUCCCAUCUAAUGCAUUUGCCGGCGCCGUACGGGCGUCUACUUUGUUGUGAUACUUACCUACGCCGGACCACUCUGUCAUUUGAACUUCCGAUCACCGCGUACUCACGACAAAUAAUGACAAUUUGACCUCAAAUCAGGUAGGACUACCCGCUGAACUUAAGCAUAUCAAUAAGCGGAGGCU
rnacentral:misc_RNA from 1 species